rnacentral:rRNA from 1 species
GAUGAACGCUGGCGGCGUGCCUAAUACAUGCAAGUCGAGCGAACGGACGAGACGCUUGCUUCUCUGAUGUUAGCGGCGGACGGGUGAGUACCACGUGGAUAACCUACCUAUAAGACUGGGAUAACUUCGGGAAACCGGAGCUAAUACCGGAUAAUAUUUUGAACCGCAUGGUUCAAAAGUGAAAGACGGUCUUGCUGUCACUUAUAGAUGUAUCCGCGCUGCAUUAGCUAGUUGGUAAGGUAACGGCUUACCAAGGCAACGAUGCGUAGCCGACCUGAGAGGGUGAUCGGCCACACUGGAACUGAGACACGGUCCAGACUCCUACGGGAGGCAGCAGUAGGGAAUCUUCCGCAAUGGGCGAAAGCCUGACGGAGCAACGCCGCGUGAGUGAUGAAGGUCUUCGGAUCGUAAAACUCUGUUAGUAGGGAAGAACAGAUGUGUAAGUAACUGUGCACAUCUUGACGGUACCUAAUCAGAAAGCCACGGCUAACUACGUG